rnacentral:lncRNA from 1 species
UCUAGUCUUUGAAAAGUGAAAAAUAUUUGGGUUUACAGAAUCAAGAAAACAACUUAAUAUGUGUACCUAUUCCUUCUCAUAUCCAUAUAAUAAUGAUGUUAUAGUGUAGUUUCCUUCUGUAAUAAUAUUUAAUAAUCAUGUUUCCUUGAUGAAUUUUAGGUAAUUUUCAUUUGUGCCUAUUAAAUGAGCAUUGAUUAGUUUGCCAUUCAGAACCCAUUUAAUUUUCUUUUGAAACCAUACCUUUAUUUCAGCUUUGUAGGUCACCCAGCCCCACUCUUAGCCUAUAUGCUUAUGGUAGAAACAUGAUCUAGUUCUAAGUCAGUUAUAGUCUUAUGUUCCAGUAGGCUUCAAUGAUUAGUUGAAGGAUGGGUCAUAUGACCCAAGAAGAGCAAAUGAGAUUUUAGUGCACACUUCUGAUAAAGAGAUUUGUACUCUUGUCAAUGGACUUGAAGUUGUGUACAUGUAAACCCUGGAGUUGCUAUAGCCAUCUUGCAACUAUAUCAGACAAAUUUGAAAUGGAUAAGAACAAAGGCUAAAGUCAAAAAAUGAGGGAUGUGUUCUUGAAAACACUGUUUGAGUCAUCAAUACAGAUCUUCAAGUCACUUAAGAAUUUUAUUUUCUUUCACUUGCAACUACAAGGAUAUAUUUUAUUAUUUCUAUCUAAACCCAGUGUAAGACCCAGGCUUUAUAUAGCCACUCUCAGUGCCCAGUCUUUCAACAUGGGAGUGUGGUAAGGGAGGAAGGCAAGGAAGGAGAGAGAAAAUGGAACAUGGUUAAACAUAUUGGCCUGGAUUAGCAGAAUGAGUUUAAAUGAAGCAUAUUUCUUCUCUUUGAAUGGUAAUUUAUUUCACAUUUAGUGAUGCAUUAUUCCAGGCACUGUACUAGAUACUAGAUAUUCAGAGUUGAAAGUUAAUACAACUCUGGAGUUUACAGGGUAGUGUAGGAUAAUUCCAACACACACGCACAAA